AUGAAAAUGCUUAGCUGGAACUGUCGGGGGCUGGGUCGGCCUCGCACAGUUCAAGAAUUAGUCUAUCUCAAUAAAUCUUACCGACCCAAUGUUAUCUUUCUUUCUGAAACAAGGCAAAAUGAAAAAUAUGUUGAGAGUUUGAGGUAUAGGUUGGGCAUGCAAAAUGUGUUUACUGUUUCAGUUAAAGGUAAAGGUGGUGGCUUAGCUGUGUUUUGGGAUGAGUGUUUUACUAUGGAGUUA
rnacentral:rRNA from 1 species